UUAGCUCAUAUUUGUAUGGAAUGGGAUCGUUUGCCUAAGUUUGCCUUUAGGGGCGCUGUUCCAACUGCAUACAAAAUUGUGUUA
rnacentral:pre_miRNA from 1 species